UGCAAGCGCAGGCGGAUGUGUAAGUUCUGUGUUAAAUGCAGCUACUCAAUAGUUGUAUGCACCGAAUACUACAUGUCUAGAUUGUGGUAGGGAGUUUCGGAAUUAAGCAUGGAGCGGUGGAAUGUGUAGAUAUGCUUAAGAACACCAGAGGCGAAGGCGGAAACUUAGGCCAUAAAUGACGCUUAGGCUUGAAAGUGUGGGGAGCAAAUGGGAUUAGAUACCCCAGUAGUCCACACCGUAAACGAUGGGUAUUAGAUGUUAGGGCUUUAGCUUUAGUGUUGUAGCUUACGCGUUAAAUACCCCGCCUGGGUAGUACAUAUGCAAAUAUGAAACUCAAAGGAAUUGACGGGGACCUGAACAAGUGGUGGAGCAUGUUGCUUAAUUCGAUAAUACACGAAAAACCUUACCAAGGUUUGACAUCCCUCGCAAAGCUAUAGAAAUAUAGUAGAGGUUAUCGAGGUGACAGGUGGUGCAUGGCUGUCGUCAGCUCGUGUCUUGAGAUGUUUGGUUAAGUCCCGCAACGAGCGCAACCCCACUCUUUAGUUACUUGUCUAAAGAGACUGCACAGUAAUGUAGAGGAAGGAUGGGAUCACGUCAAGUCAUCAUGCCCCUUAUGCCUUGGGCUGCAAACGUGCUACAAUGGCGAACACAAUGGGUGCAAACCAGCGAUGGUAAGCUAAUCACCGUU
rnacentral:rRNA from 1 species